CGGAGCAAUACGGAAGGCUUGGCUCGUCUAGACGGUUUUUUGGGAUAUUUCCCAUGGAUAUAUGUAGAUAUCCUCGUUAGACGCGUCUCCCUUCUUGGCUAGAAGAGUCUCUGCUGGAGCUGUCUUCACUGGGUUUGGCUUUUUGUGUGCCUCGUCGUCCGAAGCACUAACCUCACUGCUGGAAAUAUCCUCCGAAGAACGAUCCUCAAUGGAGAUUAAGAUCACUGCUUAAGGCCAUGAAGCUGUGUGCGUGUGGUACGCCUACGUUUGUGGAAGUAAACAAGGAGGUCGGAUGCCAGUUUUUUCAGUCGGUUCGAAAUGUCCGGAGUUUUAAAGAUUCUCAACUGGUGGGGGCCGGCCCAUCAUCGUUGGCCUUCCCACAAAGGCAAACAAUCUGCUAAGAAAGUGCAAUUUUUCUCCAUUGAAAUCGGAUCGUUCGUCGGAGAUAAUUUCCAGUAUUGAGACUAGUACUUAGAGGACGAAGCCCGCCAAAAAGUCAGUCCAGAUGGCAGACUCUCAUCUCUCGCCACCCCUCGGGCGAUGAAACCAAAGGGCUCCAGCAAGGACUACGACAAUCGAUAAGGAAGAGCCUGUCAACAAGCCACAACUCUGAAGACAUCAGAAGAGAGAUACAUAGGUUCUGACCUAACGAACCAGUGGCUGCUUAAAUCUAGCAUAUGAAUGCCUGGCAGUGAGAGAACUUGAAUGAAAUAAAUGUAGAUUAAUGUA